rnacentral:rRNA from 1 species
UCCGUAGGUGAACCUGCGGAAGGAUCAUUAACAAAACAUAAUAACACACUGUGCACAACAAUACUAAGAGUAAGAGCAAGAGGUGAUAUUGUAAUUGAUACAACUUUUAACAAUGGAUCUCUUGGCUCUCGCAACGAUGAAGAACGCAGCGAAAUGCGAUACGUGAUGCGAAUCGCCUAAUUCGUGAGUCAUUCAAUCUUUGAACGCAUAUUGCACUCCUUGGUAUUCCGGGGAGCAUACCUGUCUGAGUAUCAUAUCAUCUAAUCCCUCCAAGGGGAGCUGGAAUUCUGGGCACAGUCUUCCGAAAGAGAUGUACGCCGAGGUGGACUAAUGCCACGCCGAGGCUUUUAAAGCAACGAUCUCAGAUCAGGCAGGAGGACCCGCUGAACUUAAGCAUAUCACUAAGCGGAGGAAAAGAAACUAACAAGGAUUCCCCCAGUAACGGCGAGUGAAGAGGGAACAGCUCAAAUUUGAAAUCUGGGCGCAAGCCCCGAAUUGUAGUCUAUAGAAGCGUUAUCGCCGGAAGGCCUGGCUCAAGUCCCUUGGAAUAGGGUGACAUGGAGGGUGAGAUCCCCGUGGAGCUUGGCUGGAAGGCAUAUGAGGCGUUUUCAAAGAGUCGGGUUGUUUGGGAAUGCAGUCCAAAGUGGGUGGUAAAUUUCAUCUAAAGCUAAAUAACGGCGAGAGACCGAUAGCGAACAAGUACCGUGAGGGAAAGAUGAAAAGAACUUUGAAAAGAGAGUUAAAUAGUACGUGAAAUUGUUAAAAGGGAAACGCUUGAAGU